UCUCGUUCCAAAUAAUCCAAACACAUAAGAGUCAAAUAAGUUGCAGAAAGGAGCGCCACCGUUGAAGACCACUUGAUGAAUAAGUAAACUAAAAAAAAUGUUUAAUAGAUUUUGAGGAUCAAAGAGUGUCAAAGAUGAUGCAUGAGAUAAAUAAAUGUUGAUCUGAUUCCAUUGCACCGCAACCGAAUACACAAGACCGAGCUUCUGGAGUGAUGAUGUCUUGGAUUGCCAAGUUUACUUUAGUUGGCAACUUGUCACGCAAAAGUCUCCAAGCAAAAUAAGACACCUUCAAGGAAAUUUGUUUGCGUAAAUAAGACAUUCAACUGUAUCCAAAUGAUCAUACUGCUAAGAAGUCAAGAGCUGGCAAGCUCCCCGAACUGAAAAAUCUCUAACAGGACUCUUUAGAUCAUUAAAUAAUUAAUAUGUCUAUCCAGGUCAAUAUUUUUCAAAUUUAAAAGUUUAAUAAUGUCUUAUAAAAAUGACCAAAAAUAAUAGUAGAAUAACAUCUUUCCACCAUAUACCAUACAAGAUAAAAAAAUUGUUCAAUAAUUGUUCUAUAUUAUUUUAUCCAAUAUUUAUGUUUUACAAAUCAAAUGAUUCAUCCGUAUUAAACAAAGUAACUGAAAUCAAACAUAUGAUUCAUCCCCCAAAUAAAAAAUGAGAAGAAGAUCUACUGAGAUCUUCGUAUAAAAAUUGGAGCUAAUUAAAGGGAAGAGAUGUGAAGGACUGUUCCCCAAUAAAUAACUGCAGGCAAACAAGAUCUAUAUAGGACCAAGGUCAUAGACCGAUCAAUAUGUGACAAUACUGUCUAUCAUAGUUGGCAUAUUUAUUUCGAUGAUUUUAUUUUGAGAGAAAAUUUAUGUCUAUGUGGUUGAACUUGAACAACAUAUCAUACACUAUUAGUAAAAGAAAAGCCAUAUACACUGCUUUGAUUAAAUUAUGUUAGAGUGAUGUUAACAUGUGCUUUAAAAUACAUUUUAAAAUAUUUAAAAUUAAAAUAUAAAAAAAUUAAUAUUUAAAAAGUAUAUAAUGCCCAAGUUCUAAAAAAAUUGCAUUUGAUUCUUUUGAUCAUAGUUUAGUAAGAAAUUGCUUAAGUGUAAGAAGAAAACUCAACAAAUUUAGGCAUUUUUGGUCCUGUGACCUACGCUAGGCGCAUGCCUGUUGGCUGAAAGACAUUUGUGGCACUGUGUUUUGGGCGCAGCUUCUGGGAUGCUGGACGAACCUGCUGCGUGAGGCGUAGGAAAUCCUGCGUUGGGCGCAACCUGCAGACUCAUGGGAGCUGGUUUUUGACCCAUUUUAUGCACUAUCUAAGGAGAGGUGUUGCCUUUGAAGGUGGAAGCUUGGGUUUUAAUAUACAAAAAUCUGAAGCAUUUCAU
rnacentral:lncRNA from 1 species